AAAGGCCACAUCUCCUUCCAUCUCAAAAUGAGAGGGACACUGAGGAAGAUGACCAGGUCUGAUAGUGCGCAUAGUUUGGGAAAAGUCCUCUUGGCUUGGAGCACCAAAGUGAGUAUAAAAUGCUGGAUGCACCAUACAGCGUCUCUGACCCCUUGCAAUAACCGGAGGACGUAUUCAGCCACCAACUGGGGCCACAGACUCCAACGCAAACAUGAUGGGAAGCCAGGAAGGGAUGCUCAACAUACACAUUUUCUUGUUUCUUGUUUUUAAACAAGGUGAGAGAAUACUGCUUUCCCCUAAACAUCUGACCGUAAGCAGUUAUUCUCAUUUGGAAACUAGUUUCAUUUCUGUGUGCUUGGAAAUCCCACCCAUGUUACAGUUUCCCAGCUCCCUACAAAACAAUAAGUA